UACGUAGGGACCAAGCGUUGUUCGGAUUUACUGGGCGUAAAGGGCGCGUAGGCGCAAUUCAAGUCAGCUGUGAAAUCUCCGGGCUUAACUCGGAACGGUCAGCUGAUACUGCUUUGCUAGAGUGCAGAAGGGGCAAUCGGAAUUCUUGGUGUAGCGGUGAAAUGCGUAGAUAUCAAGAGGAACACCUGAGGUGAAGACGGGUUGCUGGGCUGACACUGACGCUGAGUGCGCGAAAGCUAGGGUAGCAAACGGG
rnacentral:rRNA from 1 species